rnacentral:tRNA from 1 species
GUGAGUGUAGCUCAGCGGUCAGAGCACUGGGCUGUGGCCCCAGUGGUCGGGGGUUCGAAUCCCCUCACUCACCCCA